CGGAGGGAUCAUUACCGAGUUUACAACUCCCAAACCCCUGUGAACAUACCACUUGUUGCCUCGGCGGAUCAGCCCGCUCCCGGUAAAACGGGACGGCCCGCCAGAGGACCCCUAAACUCUGUUUCUAUAUGUAACUUCUGAGUAAAACCAUAAAUAAAUCAAAACUUUCAACAACGGAUCUCUUGGUUCUGGCAUCGAUGAAGAACGCAGCAAAAUGCGAUAAGUAAUGUGAAUUGCAGAAUUCAGUGAAUCAUCGAAUCUUUGAACGCACAUUGCGCCCGCCAGUAUUCUGGCGGGCAUGCCUGUUCGAGCGUCAUUUCAACCCUCAAGCACAGCUUGGUGUUGGGACUCGCGUUAAUUCGCGUUCCUCAAAUUGAUUGGCGGUCACGUCGAGCUUCCAUAGCGUAGUAGUAAAACCCUCGUUACUGGUAAUCGUCGCGGCCACGCCGUUAAACCCCAACUUCUGAAUGUUGACCUCGGAUCAGGUAGGAAUACCCGCUGAACUUAAGCAUAUCAAUAAGCGGAGGAAAAGAAACCAACAGGGAUUGCCCUAGUAACGGCGAGUGAAGCGGCAACAGCUCAAAUUUGAAAUCUGGCUCUCGGGCCCGAGUUGUAAUUUGUAGAGGAUACUUUUGAUGCGGUGCCCUUCCGAGUUCCCUGGAACGGGACGCCAUAGAGGGUGAGAGCCCCGUCUGGUUGGAUGCCAAAUCUCUGUAAAGUUCCUUCAACGAGUCGAGUAGUUUGGGAAUGCUGCUCUAAAUGGGAGGUAUAUGUCUUCUAAAGCUAA
rnacentral:rRNA from 1 species